AAAGAUUGCAUUUCUAGCCCAUUGGUCUUAUACCACCAAUAAAUGGUAUCAGAGCAGGGCUCUAAUAUGGUCCCUUAGUCUUCCUAUAUUGUGUAUAAUUUAAUUUUUAAAUUGUAUAAACACUUGAUCAUGAUUGCUAUGAUAUAUAUGCUUUGAAUUUGAGAAUUGAUAGUGUCAAUGGCAUGAGAACUGUGAAUGAAUAUUUUUCAGAACUAUUGUAUAUUUUGUGAGAGAAUGGUAGGGCAUUCAAUGCUUUAUAUAAGAGAAUAAUAUUCUGUAGUAUUUUGUGUUAUUGAGUAUAUUUUCAUAUGGAAAAAGUCUCAUGAUUAUAUUUUGUAUAUUUUUGAAGUUAUUGACCAUUUGUUAAAGUGUGACAGAUCUGAGAAAGACAUUUCCAAGAACUUUAUACCUUUUUCAAUAGGGGUUUUGAUCAAUCAAAACUUAUGAAAAUGAAUUAGGACCACUUUAUAGAAUCGAGUCUAGUUUAAAUGUACAUUUGGGCUCAUAAGAAAAUUCUCUAUAUUUGGAAAAUUAUAGUUGUUUUACUUGAGAGGUAUCAUACUGUAAUUUCUGCUACACAAAGCAGAAAUUGACCCUAUGAGAAUCAUGUUAUUUAGUCCAUUUCGGCCCCUUAUUCAAUGCUUUUUUCUAAAUGAAAGUUGUCUAAUUUUAAGUUUAUUUUAUCUGAGAAUAAGUUUCAUGAUUAAAUGAUGUGUAAAUUUAAAGUUAUGUCCAUUGAAUUGUACCAUACUCAUCCUGAAAAACGAGAAAAACAUUAUUUCAUAUAUUCAAUGUGUGAGAAAGGCGUUGAUACUUUAUAUUUUUGUAAUCCCUCUAUGAAGUAUAGUUGUUGAAAGUCCUUGUGAGUUCUUAAGGUAUUUUAGAUCAGUGGGAGAGUUAUAUAAACCCCACCGAAUCGUGAGUGUUAAGUUUUAAUACCUGAUACUCGAGUCUUGGUCUAGAUCCGGACUAGUCCCGGAUAGUGUGUGAUGAAGUUGACAACAAGACUAAAGACACAUGUGGAUGGAUGAGACAAUGAUCAUAGUUACAAAAGAGAGAAAUAAAGGAUGAAACCAAAUCACAAAGACAAAGGUAUUGGCACAUUAGGACUUGGUCACUUUAAAACUAUAAGGUACGACUUCUUUCUACUUAUGAGCAUGCUUUUAAUAUAUUGAUAAUUCAUUUCUUAGAGAACAACCAUUUUGGUUUUAUGAUAUCAUGUGAGCAAUUAUUGGUAGAAUAUCUUGGUGAAUUAUAUAAGUUUAAUAAUUGGAAGGCUUGGACUCGUCACAUAAGCUAUAAACUUGAAUUAGGCCGAUACUUAUAUAUUGAGAUUUUGAAUGCUUGUGUCCACUCUUAUAUAACAUGCUUAGUAAUUUGACUCUAGAUCUAUGAUCUAUGAUUCAAAUUACCGAUCCUAUGGAUAUAGCUAAUUCAAUAUAUAUGGCAUGUGUAAGGAUUGCACUUGUGAUUGCUUGAGAAUUAUGAGACAUGAAAAAUGUUUAUUAUUUGUGAGUUGCUUCAUGAUUUGAAAACUCAUGAGAUGUAUCAUGAAUAUGACAUUGACUAAUCCUUAUGGUGCCUCAAGCUAUUUAUGCUUCAUUAUUUUGAGCAUUCCUCAAUGAUGAGAUAAUGUGUUGUAUUAUAUUAUCAUAUUGUGAGUACUUAGUGAUGCAUGAUCCUGCCAUAAUUCUUAUGUGAAUAAGUGAAUGUGGUAUUAUGUUAUGAAUGUCAUAGGGGGAUUAUUAUAUGGCACGUUAGGCUCAAUGGUCAUAAAAAAGGAUUUUCAUGUAUGAAAUAACAUUUUCCUUUAUAGUAGCAUAUUUUACACUGUUUUGGAAAUUGAAAUCAAUCGAACCAAAAUGUAUCUUAAGUAUGGAUUGUAAUAAUUAAGAAAAUGUGAUGAAAGAGAUUUUAUCUUAAACACUUGUUCUUCUGAACGAGGAUUUCUAUAGUUAAAAUUUUUUAGCACAACAGGAUGUUAAAAACCAUAAAAGGGAUUCCACCCCAUUUUGUGUAUUACUACUUUGUAUUGUCUUUCUAUUAAAGAGUUAUGACUAUGCUAAACUUCAUGCUUCUUCCAUUUUGAAAGAUCACCCUUCAAGAGGUUCUUUUAACAUUAUAGUAUGACCACAAAACCGUUUGUCAUAAUAUUUUGGAGUAACUCAUAGUCAUCAAUCUUUGAAUAAAGUCUUUUUUGAAACCUUUGAAUUUUUACUUAAAAGUAAAAUGUUUUCUAAGACAUAAAUUCAAGUUAUUUUGAAAGGAAACUUUGUCGGUUUCAGUGGGAGCAUCUUUAGUAAGUCUCCAUAUUAUAUUUGUAGCAGUUUCCCUCUAGGAAUUCUCCAUAUUAUAUUUGUUUUUCCACAUCAAUAAAAGGAAAUUUUGGAGUUGUGUAAUCUUCCCAUAUUAAACAAAAUUCGCUAUUGGAGUUAUCUUUUUAUACUUAUUAAUAAAGGAAAAUGAGGUUCUUGUUUUGUUAUGAGUUUUUAAACCAUUUCAUGGCUGGCAGGUUUGUCAGUGCGAGUCAUACGGGUGAAGGGAUAUUUUCGAGAAUUCCUUGUGACUUCUCAUUGUUUGUUUCUUAUUUUUUAGGCUUUUAUAUUUUGAUAUUGUAUCGCAGUGUGGAGGAUUACAUCAAUGUGUAUGAGGAGUCCCAAUUUUUGUUUUGAUUUUUUUAUUUGCAUGGAGGAGAUGGAGGAACAGGGAAUGAGGAUGGGAUUUUCACUUUUUGUUUUUUUUGUUUUUUCUUUUUGGUUGAAAGAUUUGUAUAGGAGGGCCUAUGAAGCAAAAGAAAAUGUGGAUGAGGUGUGCGUGUUUCUCCUUUUGUUUAAGAUGUUUUUCCCACUUUAUUGAAUGGUUGUUGUUCCUUAUAUGUUUGAAAUUUGAGGGAUGUUAGCAAAGUGUUGCAAGCACUGAUUGGGAAGCUGAUAGGUGUGGCAUCCGUGUGGAUGUUUCGGUCGUUCAUUGAUAGAAUGUGGACCUAUGAAUAGAUAAAUGUUGCCAUCAGUGACCCGCUUGAGGGCAUGCAAAAAGGGGCUACACACAGAAUAAUGCUGACCAACUUUGUUGGCCGGUGGCAGGUUUGUCAGUGCGAGUUGAACGAGUGAAGGGAUAUUUUUGAGGAUUCCUUGAUACAUCUCAUUGUUUGUUUCUUACUUUUGAGGCUUUUAUAUUUUGAUAUUGUAUCGCAGUGUAGAAGAUUACAUCAAUGUGUAUGAGGAGUGUCGUUUUUUUUUUUUUUUUUAUUUGUAUGGAGGAGAUGGAGGAACAGGGAAUGAGGAUGGGCUUUUCGCUUUUUUUUUUUUUGGUUUGAAAGAUUUGUAUAGGGACCUAUGAAGCAAAAAAAAAUGUGGAUAAGGCGUGCGUGUGUUUUUCUUUCUUUUUUUAAGAUUUUUUUUCCACUUUAUUGAAUGGUUGUUGUUCCUUAUAUGUCUUUAAAUCCCCCUCGCCCUUUCGACUC